UCGGGAAUAUUGCGCAAUGGAGGAAACUCUGACGCAGUGACGCCGCGUAUAGGAAGAAGGUUUUCGGAUUGUAAACUAUUGUCGUUAGGGAAGAAAAAGACAGUACCUAAGGAGGAAGCUCCGGCUAACUACGUGCCAGCAGCCGCGGUAAUACGUAGGGAGCGAGCGUUAUCCGGAUUUAUUGGGUGUAAAGGGUGCGUAGACAGGUGUGCAAGUUGGUUGUGAAAUCCCUCGGCUUAACUGAGGAACUGCAACAAACUGUAUAUCUUGAGUACAGGAGAGGUAAGUGGAAUUCCUAGUGUAGCGGUGAAAUGCGUAGAUAUUAGGAGGAACACCAGUGGCGAAGGCGACUUACUGGACUGAAACUGACGUUGAGGCACGAAAGUGUGGGGAGCAAACAGGAUUAGAUACC
rnacentral:rRNA from 1 species